AUUGAACGCUGGCGGCAGGCCUAACACAUGCAAGUCGAGCGAAUGAAGGGAGCUUGCUCCUGGAUUCAGCGGCGGACGGGUGAGUAAUGCCUAGGAAUCUGCCUGGUAGUGGGGGAUAACGUCCGGAAACGGGCGCUAAUACCGCAUACGUCCUGAGGGAGAAAGUGGGGGAUCUUCGGACCUCACGCUAUCAAAUGAGCCUAGGUCGGAUUAGCUAGUUGGUGGGGUAAAGGCCUACCAAGGCGACGAUCCGUAACUGGUCUGAGAGGAUGAUCAGUCACACUGGAACUGAGACACGGUCCAGACUCCUACGGGAGGCAGCAGUGGGGAAUAUUGGACAAUGGGCGAAAGCCUGAUCCAGCCAUGCCGCGUGUGUGAAGAAGGUCUUCGGAUUGUAAAGCACUUUAAGUUGGGAGGAAGGGCAGUAAGUUAAUACCUUGCUGUUUUGACGUUACCAACAGAAUAAGCACCGGCUAACUUCGUG
rnacentral:rRNA from 1 species